GACGAACGCUGGCGGCGUGCUUAACACAUGCAAGUCGAACGGAAAGGCCCUGCUUUUGUGGGGUGCUCGAGUGGCGAACGGGUGAGUAACACGUGAGUAACCUGCCCUUGACUUUGGGAUAACUUCAGGAAACUGGGGCUAAUACCGGAUAGGAGCUCCUGCUGCAUGUUGGGGGUUGGAAAGUUUCGGCGGUUGGGGAUGGACUCGCGGCUUAUCAGCUUGUUGGUGGGGUAGUGGCUUACCAAGGCUUUGACGGGUAGCCGGCCUGAGAGGGUGACCGGCCACAUUGGGACUGAGAUACGGCCCAGACUCCUACGGGAGGCAGCAGUGGGGAAUAUUGCAAAAUGGGCGGAAGCCUGAUGCAGCAACGCCGCGUGCGGGAUGACGGCCUUCGGGUUGUAAACCGCUUUCGCCUGUGACGAAGCGUGAGUGACGGUAAUGGGUAAAGAAGCACCGGCUAACUACGUG
rnacentral:rRNA from 1 species